rnacentral:rRNA from 1 species
AACGAACGCUGGCGGCAUGCCUAACACAUGCAAGUCGAACGAGACCUUCGGGUCUAGUGGCGCACGGGUGCGUAACGCGUGGGAACCUGCCCUUAGGUUCGGAAUAACUCCCCGAAAGGGGUGCUAAUACCGGAUAAUGUCUUCGGACCAAAGAUUUAUCGCCUUUGGAUGGGCCCGCGUUGGAUUAGCUAGUUGGUAGGGUACAAGCCUACCAAGGCGACGAUCCUUAGCUGGUCUGAGAGGAGGAUCAGCCACACUGGGACUGAGACACGGACUAGACUCGUACGGGAGGGAGCAGUGGGGAAUAUUGGACAAUGGGCGAAAGCCUGAUCCAGCAAUGCCGCGUGAGUGAGGAAGGCGUUAGGGUUGUAAAGCUCUUUUAGCCGGGAUGAUAAUGACAGUACCGGGAGAAUAAGCUCCGGCUAACUCCGUG